rnacentral:rRNA from 1 species
UACGUAGGGCGCAAGCGUUGUCCGGAAUUAUUGGGCGUAAAGAGCUCGUAGGCGGCCUGUUACGUCUGCUGUGAAAUCCCGGGGCUUAACCCCGGGCGUGCAGUGGAUACGGGCAGGCUGGAGGCAGGCAGGGGAGAACGGAAUUCCCGGUGUAGCGGUGAAAUGCGCAGAUAUCAGGAGGAACACCGGUGGCGAAGGCGGGUCUCUGGGCCGAUACUGACGCUGAGGAGCGAAAGCGUGGGGAGCAAACAGG